AGAGUGAACGCUGGCGGCAGGCCUAAUACAUGCAAGUCGAACGGCAGCACGGCAGAGCUUGCUCUGUGGGUGGCGAGUGGCGGACGGGUGAGGAAUACAUGGGAAUCUGCCCAGUCGUGGGGGAUAACGUAUGGAAACGUACGCUAAUACCGCAUGCGCCCUUCGGGGGAAAGCCGGGGACCUUCGGGCCUGGCGCGAUUGGAUGAGCCCAUGUCGGAUUAGCUAGUUGGCGGGGUAACGGCCUACCAAGGCGACGAUCCGUAGCUGGUCUGAGAGGAUGAUCAGCCACACUGGAACUGAGACACGGUCCAG
rnacentral:rRNA from 1 species